rnacentral:rRNA from 1 species
UACGAAGGGGGCUAGCGUUGCUCGGAAUCACUGGGCGUAAAGGGUGUGUAGGCGGGGUUUUAAGUCAGGGGUGAAAUCCUGGAGCUCAACUCCAGAACUGCCUUUGAUACUGAAGAUCUUGAGUCCGGGAGAGGUGAGUGGAACUGCGAGUGUAGAGGUGAAAUUCGUAGAUAUUCGCAAGAACACCAGUGGCGAAGGCGGCUCACUGGCCCGGUACUGACGCUGAGGCACGAAAGCGUGGGGAGCAAACAGG